GGCGAAAUAGCAUAGUGGUAAUGCAGCGGAUUGCAAAUCCGUUGACGCCAGUUCGAUUCUGGCUUUCGCCUCCA
rnacentral:tRNA from 1 species